rnacentral:rRNA from 1 species
UACGUAGGGGGCAAGCGUUGUCCGGAUUCAUUGGGCGUAAAGAGCGUGUAGGCGGCCAGACAGGUCAGCUGUGAAAACUCGAGGCUCAACCUCGAGACGUCGGUUGAAACCGUCUGGCUAGAGUCCGGAAGAGGAGAGUGGAAUUCCCGGUGUAGCGGUGAAAUGCGCAGAUAUCAGGAAGAACACCCGUGGCGAAGGCGGCUCUCUGGGACGGUACUGACGCUGAGACGCGAAAGCGUGGGGAGCGAACAGG